GACGAACGCUGGCGGCGUGCUUAACACAUGCAAGUCGAACGGAAAGGCCCUGCUUUUGUGGGGUGCUCGAGUGGCGAACGGGUGAGUAACACGUGAGUAACCUGCCCUUGACUUUGGGAUAACUUCAGGAAACUGGGGCUAAUACCGGAUAGGAGCUCCUGCUGCAUGGUGGGGGUUGGAAAGUUUCGGCGGUUGGGGAUGGACUCGCGGCUUAUCAGCUUGUUGGGGGGGUAGUGGCUUACCAAGGCUUUGACGGGUAGCCGGCCUGAGAGGGUGACCGGCCACAUUGGGACUGAGAUACGGCCCAGACUCCUACGGGAGGCAGCAGUGGGGAAUAUUGCACAAUGGGCGGAAGCCUGAUGCAGCAACGCCGCGUGCGGGAUGACGGCCUUCGGGUUGUAAACCGCUUUCGCCUGUGACGAAGCGUUAGUGACGGUAAUGGGUAAAGAAGCACCGGCUAACUACGUG
rnacentral:rRNA from 1 species